UCCUAUGGGCGGGCCGUGUGGGAGGGGAGCAAUCCCCUGCCGGUGACUACUUCCGGUACGCCAACCUGCAUGGUCCCGCCCACCUCC
rnacentral:antisense_RNA from 1 species